rnacentral:sRNA from 1 species
CGAUUGCGGCAAGCCUAACACAUGCAAGUCGAGCGGCAGCGGAAGGAAGCUUGCUUCCUUGCCGGCGAGCGGCGGACGGGUGAGUAAGGUAUGGGGAUCUGGCCGAAGGCGGGGGAUAACCACUGGAAACGGUGGCUAAUACCGCAUAAUCUCUAAGGAGCAAAGUGGGGGACCAUUAUGGCCUCACACCUUCGGAUGAACCCAUAUGAGAUUAGCUAGUAGGUGGGGUAAAGGCUCACCUAGGCGACGAUCUCUAGCUGGUCUGAGAGGAUGAUCAGCCACACUGGGACUGAGACACGGCCCAGACUCCUACGGGAGGCAGCAGUGGGGAAUAUUGCACAAUGGGCGCAAGCCUGAUGCAGCCAUGCCGCGUGUAUGAAGAAGGCCUUCGGGUUGUAAAGUACUUUCAGUCGUGAGGAAGGUGUUAAGGUUAAUAGCCUUAGCAAUUGACGUUAGCGACAGAAGAAGCACCGGCUAACUCCGUGCCAGCAGCCGCGGUAAUACGGAGGGUGCGAGCGUUAAUCGAAAUUACUGGGCGUAAAGGGCACGCAGGCGGUUAAUUAAGUUGGAUGUGAAAUCCCCGGGCUUAACCUGGGAAUGGCAUUCAAGACUGGUUAGCUAGAGUCUUGUAGAGGGGGGUAGAAUUCCAUGUGUAACGGUGAAAUGCGUAGAGAUGUGGAGGAAUACCGGUGGCGAAGGCGGCUCCCUGGACAAAGACUGACGCUCAUGUGCGAAAGCGUGGGGAGCAAACAGGAUUAGAUACCCUGGUAGUCCACGCUGUAAACGAUGUCGAUUUGGAGGUUGUGGUCUAGAACUGUGGCCUCCGGAGCUAACGCGUUAAAUCGACCGCCUGGGGAGUACGGCCGCAAGGUUAAAACUCAAAUGAAUUGACGGGGGCCCGCACAAGCGGUGGAGCAUGUGGUUUAAUUCGAUGCAACGCGAAGAACCUUACCUACUCUUGACAUCCAGCGAAGCCUUUAGAGAUAGAGGUGUGCCUUCGGGAGCGCUGAGACAGGUGCUGCAUGGCUGUCGUCAGCUCGUGUUGUGAAAUGUUGGGUUAAGUCCCGCAACGAGCGCAACCCUUAUCCUUUGUUGCCAGCGAUUCGGUCGGGAACUCAAAGGAGACUGCCGGUGAUAAACCGGAGGAAGGUGGGGAUGACGUCAAGUCAUCAUGGCCCUUACGAGUAGGGCUACACACGUGCUACAAUGGCGUAUACAGAGAGAGGCGAGCCUGCGAGGGGAAGCGGAACUCAGAAAGUACGUCAAAGUCCGGAUUGGAGUCUGCAACUCGACUCCAUGAAGUCGGRAUCGCUAGUAAUCGCGGAUCAGCAUGUCGCGGUGAAUCCGUUCCCGGGCCUUGUACACACCGCCCGUCACACCAUGGGAGUGGGUUGCAAAAGAAGUAGGUAGCUUAACCUUUUGGAUGGCGCUUACCACUUUGUGAUUCAUGACUGGGGUGAAGUCGUAACAAGGUAACCGUAGGGGAACCUGCGGUUGGAUCACCUCCUUACCUAGAUAGAUGGAAUGUGAGUGUUCACACAGAUUGUCUGAUGAAGAUUGAGCAGAAGGUAUCAUUAGGCUUGUAGCUCAGGUGGUUAGAGCGCACCCCUGAUAAGGGUGAGGUCGGUGGUUCAAGUCCACUCAGGCCUACCAACAUUGCUGAUGGAUGUGGCUGAAAGGUAAGGUUAGCAGGAAGGUGUAAUGAUACGACAAUCUUAAUGGGGCUAUAGCUCAGCUGGGAGAGCGCCUGCUUUGCACGCAGGAGGUCAGCGGUUCGAUCCCGCUUAGCUCCACCAUAUUGCAAGAUAAAAUAUAGAUAAAAAGUUAUUCAGAGCAGGCUGGCAACAGUAUGCUGCGAAUAAUAAUGCUCUUUAACAAUCUGGAACAAGCUGAAAAUUGAAACACACAUUAUGAAAAAUAGUGUGGAGAACUCUCAAAACUCCAAUCAGUUGGGUUUUUGUUGUCAUGAUGAAAGCGUUAUGAGCGAGCAGUCAGCCAUUCGAGACGGCCAGCGCACAGCGAGCACUGCCCAAUAAAGAAUGGGUGGAGAGGUGCCCAUAACCUAGCAAAAAGGCAGCGUAAGACACCUUCGGGUUGUGAGGUUAAGCGAAUUAAGCGUACACGGUGGAUGCCUAGGCAGUCAGAGGCGAUGAAGGACGUGCUAAUCUGCGAAAAGCGUCGGUAAGCUGAUAUGAAGCGUACUAGCCGGCGAUGUCCGAAUGGGGAAACCCAGUGCAUUGAUGCACUAUCGUUUGAUGAAUCCAUAGUCAAAUGAGGCGAACCGGGGGAACUGAAACAUCUCAGUACCCCGAGGAAAAGAAAUCAACCGAGAUUCCCCCAGUAGCGGCGAGCGAACGGGGAGCAGCCCAGAGUCAACAUCAAAAUUUACCGCAGGAGAAGGGUCUGGAAAGGCCCGCAAUAAAGGGUGAUAGCCCCGUAUCUGAAGCGGUAAGUGUUGUGAGCUCGAAGAGUAGGGCGGGACACGUGUUAUCCUGUCUGAAUAUGGGGGGACCAUCCUCCAAAA